AGCAGCCGCGGUAAUUCCAGCUCCAAUAGCGUAUAUUAAAGUUGUUGCAGUUAAAAAGCUCGUAGUUGAAUUUCGGGAUCAGUUUGUUGGUCGUGCUUCGGUACGUACUGUCACUACUGGUUUCUACCUUCUGAAGAACCUUGAUGUCAUUAAUUUGGUGUCUUGGGGAAUCAGGACUGUUACUUUGAAAAAAUUAGAGUGUUUAAAGCAAGCAUACGCUUGAAUACAUUAGCAUGGAAUAAUGAAAUAGGACGUUUGAUUCUAUUUUGUUGGUUUCUAGGAUCGACGUAAUGAUUAAUAGAGAUAGUUGGGGGCAUUAGUAUUCAAUUGUCAGAGGUGAAAUUCUUGGAUUUAUGAAGACUAACUACUGCGAAAGCAUUUGCCAAGGAUGUUUUCAUUAA
rnacentral:rRNA from 1 species